UGGGGAAUUUUGGACAAUGGGCGAAAGCCUGAUCCAGCAAUGCCGCGUGUGUGAAGAAGGCCUUCGGGUUGUAAAGCACUUUUGUCCGGAAAGAAAUCCUUGGCUCUAAUACAGUCGGGGGAUGACGGUACCGGAAGAAUAAGCACCGGCUAACUACGUGCCAGCAGCCGCGGUAAUACGUAGGGUGCAAGCGUUAAUCGGAAUUACUGGACGUAAAGCGUGCGCAGGCGGUUUGCUAAGACCGAUGUGAAAUCCCCGGGCUCAACCUGGGAACUGCAUUGGUGACUGGCAGGCUAGAGUAUGGCAGAGGGGGGUAGAAUUCCACGUGUAGCAGUGAAAUGCGUAGAGAUGUGGAGGAAUACCGAUGGCGAAGGCAGCCCCCUGGGCCAAUACUGACGCUCAUGCACGAAAGCGUGGGGAGCAAACAGGAUUAGAUACCCUGGUAGUCCACGCCCUAAACGAUGUCAACUAGUUGUUGGGGAUUCAUUUCCUUAGUAACGUAGCUAACGCGUGAAGUUGACCGCCUGGGGAGUACGGUCGCAAGAUUAAAACUCAAAGGAAUUG
rnacentral:rRNA from 1 species